GAUGAACGCUAGCGGGAGGCCUAACACAUGCAAGCCGAGCGGUAUUGUUUCUUCGGAAAUGCGAGAGCGGCGUACGGGUGCGUAACACGUGUGCAACCUGCCUUUAUCUGGGGGAUAGCCUUUCGAAAGGAAGAUUAAUACUCCAUAAUAUAUUGAACGGCAUCGUUUAAUAUUGAAAGCUCCGGCGGAUAGAGAUGGGCACGCGCAAGAUUAGCUAGUUGGUGAGGUAACGGCUCACCAAGGCGAUGAUCUUUAGGGGGCCUGAGAGGGUGAUCCCCCACACUGGUACUGGGACACGGACCAGACUCCUACGGGAGGCAGCAGUGCGGAAUAUUGGUCAAUGGGUGCAAGCCUGAACCAGCCAUCCCGCGUGAAGGACGACUGCCCUAUGGGUUGUAAACUUCUUUUGUAUAGGGAUAAACCUACCCUCGUGAGGGUAGCUGAAGGUACUAUACGAAUAAGCACCGGCUAACUCCGUG
rnacentral:rRNA from 1 species